rnacentral:rRNA from 1 species
AUACGGAGGGUCCAAGCGUUAUCCGGAUUCAUUGGGUUUAAAGGGUUCGUAGGCGGAUAAAUAAGUCAGUGGUGAAAUCCCGAAGCUCAACUUCGGAACUGCCAUUGAAACUGUUUAUCUUGAAUUUAGUUGAAGUGGGCGGAAUAUGACAUGUAGCGGUGAAAUGCAUAGAUAUGUCAUGGAACACCAAUAGUGAAGACAGCUCACUAAGCUAAUAUUGACGCUGAUGAACGAAAGCAUGGGUAGCGAACAGGAUUAGAUACCCCAGUAGUCC